CCUACGGGGGGCAGCAGUGGGGAAUAUUGGACAAUGGGCGAAAGCCUGAUCCAGCCAUGCCGCGUGUGUGAAGAAGGCCUUCGGGUUGUAAAGCACUUUCAGUGGGGAAGAAAGCCUUGGGGCUAAUACCCUCGAGGAAGGACAUCACCCACAGAAGAAGCACCGGCUAACUCCGUGCCAGCAGCCGCGGUAAUACGGAGGGUGCGAGCGUUAAUCGGAAUUACUGGGCGUAAAGCGCGCGUAGGCGGUCUGAUAAGCCGGUUGUGAAAGCCCCGGGCUCAACCUGGGAACGGCAUCCGGAGCUGUCGGGCUAGAGUGCAGGAGAGGAAGGUAGAUUCCCCGGUGUAGCGGGGAAAUGCGUGGAGAUCGGGAGGAAUACCAGUGGCGAGGGAGGCCUUCUGAAAUGACACUGACGCUGAGGUGCGAAAGCGUGGGUAGCAAACAGGAUUAGAUACCGUGUAGUC
rnacentral:rRNA from 1 species